rnacentral:misc_RNA from 1 species
UGCGUUCCGCACACCGGAGCGACGCGGUAUGCCAUACGCGCAGCCCCAAUCAUAUUGAGCGAAAUCCGUUGUUCCCCUCCCCACACAAACACAUCCGUGUGUAUUCAGAGGUCUACAAGUUUGUCGCGUUCAAUCCGGCUACACAAAUUUCUGUAUAUUAGGAUGCGGACGUGCCGUUGGCCGCGAAUACGGCGGGCGAGCGCUUGCCCUCGCUCUUUUCGUUGCCCCUUCCUCUUCGCCCUGAGCUGGCAGGUGAGUGUGCACCACUCCCUGAAGGAGAAUUGGGAUGCCAGCCGAUCCAGUAUACCAUACUCCAUAGAUCCCCACUCCGUCCCAUCUCCCUCUCUCGCGCGAUAGGAAGUACGCCAGACAGGAAUGUUGUGAAUGCGGCUGUGGUCUUGAUGGUGCAGAGGUGGGCAGGGGGGGCGGGUGCGCGUGCGCUGAGUACUGAUGAGCCGAUUGCAAAAAGGAAGCUGUGCAUGGGCAUUCUCGUGCAUGGCUGCGCCUCGCGUGGCCUCGCGUUUUUGCGGGGCCCCAGACGGAUUACGCCGGCUGCCGACGGCACCUCCGGAGCACCGAAGACCGGGGAAAAGGCGGGCGCCCUGCGCACGGUGGGGAUCCUGACGGCCGAUGGCUCGAUCAUUCAUGCUGCUGAGCGAGGGGGUACAGGUGCCCGAGGAGUGCAUCUGUCGCCUCGAAGGCCCCGCUCACAGCACGCGCCCGCUUCCGGAAGACGAAGCGGAUGCGGGCGUGGGCCUCUGCGGAACGCUCACCCUGUCCAAAACGUCAUCGCUGACCCCUAUUACCGAGGCCGGCGCAUGAUGCAGACCGUCGUCUCGACGAUCUACGGCGUCGCAUUCAGCGGGCGCAACAUGACACCAGCAGAGAACCGCAACACCGCGCUGGCCUUGGAGAGGGCCUUCGACUGCUUCCUCACUCCGGCGCGGCUCUCGCGCGGACGAUAGGCCCCGUGGUCCUGGUGUGUUUAACCGCGAGCAGGGGCAUGAAACGGGGGGGGACACGGCAGAAAGAGAGCACGCAACCGCAGAGCAGCGGGAAAUCGGGGUGCCGCUACGGGCACGCAAUGAGAGCACGGCCUCGCCGACCGUGUGAGUGCGCCGCGCGCAUGAGGUGCCUUUUGUUUUCUUGUCUGCUGGAGCUGCGGCUCACCUUCAUUUGGAUGGCGCCUCUGCCAUCGCUGUUAUCCUCACGGGUUAUCAAAC